ACCUCUGCGAGGAUAAAUAUUCAUGUUGCUGUUGUUUCCAUUUACAGAUGAAGGACUGGAGGCCCAGCAAGGUUAAAUGACUUGUCCAUGAACACACAGCCUGUAAACAGAUCAACCAGACUUAAAUGCCAAAGCCCGUGCCUUUUCCUCCACACCAUGGCUACUCUCUGGACUCCUAUACAUCACGUCCCACUUUCUGUGGAUUUUUUUUCUAUCCAGAGGGGCCAUCCCUGAUUGUAGAAUCAUCUCUGAAUUCUAUGACUCAUCUCUGAAUCACAGAACUGUUUAAUAGUUGAAAGGGACUUUUGAUGUCAUCUAGACCUCCCACCCACUGUGGAAAUUUCCUCUCCAAUGCUGUAUUCUCAAUACUUGAAUGACUCCAGUGAUGAAACACUAAUUCUCUUCCUCUGGAAUCAUUAAGUUCUAUGACUUAAUGAGACAGAAAGUAAGUUCUGUAUCCCUUGGGCCAACAGGUCUCUCUUUCAUUUUUACAUACUGGGCUUACAUCCUCCUCCUAAGGCACACAGAAUGGGUCUGCUGACCUUCCAUGUGAUGGCUGCAGAUAUUGAGACAUCCCUUCAGAGAACUCUUUUCUUCAAGCUUGCUGUUCUGGUCCCCACAACUCUUCUGUGAGAUGCUCCGUCCCAGACUAGCUCAAAGGUCCCUCCAAAGGGAGCAAUGGCUCCCCUACUGGACAAGGGGUGAACUGCACCGAAGGGCUCACUAGGCAGGAUAGCUGAGGAGCUUCCUGGGGAGCCUGGGCACCAACACUGGUGUGAAUAAAAUAACUGCCUUUUCU
rnacentral:lncRNA from 1 species